ACACACACCACCUCACAUCUUCAUCCUCAGCAAUUAUGUGACUAAGUUGGUUGUCGGUAAAUGCAAACCGCAGAUUGAGUUUGUUUUGACAGUCAUCAGAAGAAUGCUAAUCUCUCAUUUCACACACCCCAACAAAAGCGUUAGACGCAUGGUUUUAUGAUAACACUUGGUUUCCCAUUACAGUUAGAUUAUGCUAUAACUGGGUUGUGAUCGGUGUGCCUCCAGUUGUACACUUGACAAAUUUAUUCAAAAUAUUGAGCCCUGCAAAGUCACAUCUUAGCACUGAUGCACAGCAAGUAGGCAGUUAAUGUGGUUUUGCUUUGCAUUACAACAGUGUGUACCUUGCUUUUGAAUCACUAUAAUCACAAUAUGAUGUCUAAUGGAUGUACCUUCAAAAAGGUGUUGACCAAAAUUAAAGGAGCAGGGUUGUCAGGACCACUACCUCACAGUGAGAGAGCAUCCUUAGUUCAUGUCCAGGCUGGAGUUUAAUCCAGCCUCUAAGUAAGUCUCACUCCAUAUUCAGCAUGUCAAAUUGGAUUGCAGACACAGUGGGUAUUUAUGUAAGUAUAUUAGGUGUACAAAAACAGAGAGUCCAGAGGAGACGGAAACCUUGAUGAGCGUUAAUGAUAAUUCUCUGUUGCCAUAUGGCCCAUAAGGGAGAAGCUGACAAUUAGAUUUCCUCUCGGCUUGGAUCUGCAGGAUGGAUAUUAUAGCAACACAUGGCCUGACAUCUCAAGACUUGCCAUUUUCUCCUAGUUGUUCUUCAAAAGACAAAAAAAAAAAAAAACCUGCAUGUGUGUAUCUGCAGAUUUGUCUCAGUGUAUUGUUUUCUAAUGAUCCAUCUUCCCUUAUUCUAGUGUCUCAGCUGGUCGUAUUCCGGCUCUUUGACAUAAAAUUCAUCCGGUUCAAAAUACUUUUUGUGCUGUUGUAAAAAAGUCUGCUUUAAUUCCACAAUAAAAGCAUUUCUGUAAAUAUCCUUUUAAUAAAACAUGGUGAUCUUUUUUUUUUAACCUCCUAAGACCUGGCGUCCACACGUGUGGACAUCACAUUUUUGGUUGUCAAGACCACAAUAUUAAAUUUUGUUCACAAGGGCCUUCUGUCAAAAUUUAAAACAAAUGUCCUCAUAUGUGGACAUCAUUUUCCUCAGAAACUACAUCAUGUAAAAAGAUCAUUCUUUGUUUUUACACUCAUCAGGUCCCAAUUAGCCUAAAUAUCAAAGAGAAAAUAAAAAUGCAUGCCUUGCAAGAGUUCGGGUCUUAGGAGGUUAAGUCUAAUUUUAUCACACAGCUGUCUUUUGCACCAGGUCAGUCUGUGGGUUCUGAGGGAGAAAUGCCACAUCCUGCAAAGCUACACUCUCAGAAUAUGCUAGUUUUGUGUCCAAUUCUGCCAUAUUGUCUUAAUUCCAAAUAUGACAUAUAGUGUGCACAUCACUACAAAACACUUAGCAUUUGUGUAUUCAGCUGACAUGGACAAAAUACACAUAUCUCUUUGAGAGGACAUGAGGAGAAUCAUAACAUCCUGUUGCAGACAUGCAGAUGCAUAAAGCACUAAUGACAAUGUACACAGACACACAAUAACACUGUUCGUUUUGACAUGAGGAGGUUGUUUUCACAUAUUCAAGUGUGAGUGACGUUCUGGAAAAACCCGAUGUGAAAGUGGUUAUAAAAACAUUCCAUCUCUCAGCGACAUGAAUCCUGAGGGCAUUUUUCAAUCUGGGACAGCGUGUGAAAAAAGUCAUUGACACAUGGAUGUAAUCUGUUAGAACUAAAAAAAACGGUCAGGGUUAAGUGGUGUACAUGAACUCUGGGUCUUCAAGAAAAAAACAUAAAAUGUCACAAUGCUGCCUAAAAUUCUGGUUCAACAAGAAGCUGUAUAAGAUAUAACCUCAACCAAAUUAUGUGGUUUUGACAUGAACGCGACCUAAAAUUUGUGUGGCGAUUUGCAUUUCAGAAAGUUCCUCAAUAUGUUGGGUUUAGCACCCUGAGACACCAUCUUUGCAUCCAUGUUAUUGCAGAACAAAUGCAAAGAAGGGUGUAGGCCUAAAAUGUCAAUGUUCGUAUCAUUUUGGCUCUUACAAUACUCCAAAAAUCUUACGACAUGUUACGGUUAAGCUUUGAGCAACGUGUUUGUGAAGGGGAGAUGGACUCCACUUCCCUGUCUGCACACGUCUCCCUUUCAACAUGACAAAUGAGCUCAUUCAGGAUAAAAGGUCUUUUAAUCUUCUAAGUAGCUCUACAGUUUUUCUCAUAUAUAUAAAUUUUUCUCUCACAGUAGCAGAGAGACAGAUUUAUGCGUCCUUAUCGUCUGUCACUGUUUUCAUGUGCUCAAUGUUAGCAGCAGUUCAGUGCCCCACUGACUUUAUAAAGUUGAUGAAAUCUGAAAGAGUUUUGGUUUCGAUUCUUUGGCAUUGAUUUUAUCGUGUGAAAAAACUGCCUUUGUGGCCUUAUCGUGGUGUGUGGCGGAGGGUAAUGAACUCAACUAUCAUUCUGAACCGUUUAAUGAUACUCAGUCAUGCUGUUUUUGUCAUUUUCCCAGGCGUUGCUGGUCACUCCUAUAAACACUUGAGCUAUUAGCUCUCAUUUUAUCUGCACACUUAUUAAUUUACAGUCUUGUGAUUUGUUGGUAUAAUUUUAAUUCUGCUAUCUGGUUCCUCAAACUUCCUUUAAACACUGAAUCACUGGAGACAAUGAUGAAUUUUUCAGCAGAGUACAAACAACGAAACUCUAUUUUAUAGCUCCAUAAAGUAACUUUGGAGUGACUACAAUGUGAACCGAGCUUAGAGGCUGCUAGGGGUUUUCAUGUUAAAAGAAAGUAAACAUUAAAUUUCAUCAAAUUUAUUUAAAUCUUAAUUUUUCAUUAAAACUCCAUUAACUUUAAUAUCAAUGUAGAUCUCAACCGCACUAUUACAGAACAAAUGGAUAACUUUCCAAGUCUAGAUUUGUCUAGAAUUAAUCAUUCACAACAAAAAAUAGGUAUAGACACUGACAGACGAGAGAAAAGAUAGUUGUCUCAGUACCUAAUACUCCCAACUUUUCUGAUGAAUGAUCAGACCAUGGAGACUGAUUCAUUGUGUGUGACUCACUGACCCUACAUCAGUUUUUUACAAUAUGCUCCCAUUGCCUCCCAUUAUGAGAUGUGAUGGCAAAACAUGGUGCUGACAUUUAGUGCUGGUGGAGUCAACACAUAGCCCUGAGGGGUUCUGGCUUGUGGAGCUGCGGGACUGAUGUUCUAGCCUUUCUGCUUACCAAAACAAUCAUUCUAUUUGUUGAUAAUUCAUCAACAA
rnacentral:lncRNA from 1 species